rnacentral:rRNA from 1 species
AUUGAACGCUGGCGGAAUGCUUUACACAUGCAAGUCGAACGGUAGAGGGGGCAACCCCUUGAGAGUGGCGAACGGGUGAGUAAUAUAUCGGAACGUGCCCAGUCGUGGGGAUAACGUAGCGAAAGUUACGCUAAUACCGCAUACGAUCUAAGGAUGAAAGCGGGGGAUCGCAAGACCUCGCGCGAUUGGAGCGGCCGAUAUCAGAUUAGGUAGUUGGUGAGGUAAAGGCUCACCAAGCCAACGAUCUGCAGCUGGUCUGAGAGGACGACCAGCCACACUGGAACUGAGACACGGUCCAGACUCCUACGGGAGGCAGCAGUGGGAAUUUUGGACAAUGGACGCAAGUCUGAUCCAGCCAUUCCGCGUGCAGGAUGAAGGCCCUCGGGUUGUAAACUGCUUUUGUACGGAACGAAAAGGUUUGUCUUAAUACGAUGAGCUCAUGACGGUACCGUAAGAAUAAGCACCGGCUAACUACGUGCCAGCAGCCGCGGUAA